rnacentral:rRNA from 1 species
CUUGGUCAUUUAGAGGAAGUAAAAGUCGUAACAAGGUUUCCGUAGGUGAACCUGCGGAAGGAUCAUUACAGAGAAUAUGCCCUUCGGGGUAGACCUCCUACCCUUUGCUUACUUUACCUUUGUUGCUUUGGCAAGCCCGUCUACCGACCACCGGCUUUUUGCUGGUCAGUGCAUGUCAGAGGAUCUCAAAUUCUUAAUAUAAUAUUGUCCGAGUACUAUUUAAUAGUUAAAACUUUCAACAACGGAUCUCUUGGUUCUGGCAUCGAUGAAGAACGCAGCGAAAUGCGAUAAGUAAUGUGAAUUGCAGAAUUCAGUGAAUCAUCGAAUCUUUGAACGCACAUUGCACCCUCUGGCAUUCCGGGGGGUAUGCCUGUUCGAGCGUCAUUUCAACCCUCAAGCACUGCUUGGUAUUGGGCGUCACUACCUAAGUGUGCCCUAAAAUUAGUGGCGGCGCCCAUUCGGCUUCCAGCGUAGUAAAUUUCUCGCUGUGGAAACGUAUUGUGCUCCCUGUCAGCAACCCCUAAAUUUUCAAGGUUGACCUCGGAUCAGGUAGGGAUACCCGCUGAACUUAAGCAUAUCAAUAAGCGGAGGA